GAUGAAACCACAGAAAUGACAGAU
rnacentral:piRNA from 1 species